GUUGUCUGACCAGGAGAUUUUCCCACUUAAGCUGUGGAUCUCAGCAGCUCCUUCAGAGUUGCUAUUGGCUUUUUUGGCUGCUCUUUGGGUUCAUGAUGUACUUGGUUGCCUUGAAUUUCAAUUUGGGGUAUCUGAAUAAGAUGGGGUGCCUGUAAAUGGAAAGCCUCAUGGUUUGGUAGUAUUUUUAUACAAGUAUAAUUUUUAAUCCAACUUCAAAAAUAUGCACAACUUUAUUUUUUGUAUCUUUUAAAUCACAAUAAAAUGUUUUAAAUAUUACAUCUCAAGCCUUCUGACUUCACAUGUAUCUAAUGGAUGCAUAUAAUGGAGUUCUGCUACUAUCACCUUCAGAAAUGCUUUAAUUUUAGACUGACCAACUUCCUGAUUGAUCAUUUUCUCUUCAGCUACAUCGUGUCAUGUUUGUCGUAAUUAACAUGCAUCAGAAGCAUCGUACGCUCAGGACGGAUCGAUGGCGGAACGCCUCGAUCUGAUCGCAACCAAUACCUGCGAUGCGAUUGAAACUUUCCUCCUGUAUAAACAGGCUCAGGUCAAUAGAAGAAAGCUUGCCUCGCUUCUAUCUGUGACACUAGUGGUGCCUUCGAAUGACACCCUGCUUUAAUUUUGUCUCUCAACUUAGCGGCUCGGCUGUUCCUGUGUCAGCUGAAUUCCAGUUGUGGUCUGGGCUAGCCUGGUGACCUCAAUUGACUAUUGAUGGAUCGGGUUUGAAAUUGCACAGACCGUCCCUGUUGUUAGACUCUGCAGCUGAGCUGUAGGGCGUAUGUGGAUGAAAUUAUAUUUUAGAAUUUCUUUUUCUUCUCUUAUAACAUGAUUGCAGCAAUACUUCAAGUUCAGGGUUGUGGAAACUUAUUUUUCUUUUAGGAUGUUUGCAUUUAGCUUUCUGGUGAAAACAUUACUAGAUUAAAACUGUAUCUUGCUUUGACAGAAUGGAGAUUUAAUUUAGUAGAAGUAGUGAGGCUAAUCCUUCAUUUAGUGGUUAUGGAAAAGUAAUUCCAGGCUUUUUUUUUUCUUAUUGUUGCAUAAUCAAGGCUUCCAGCCAGUCAAAGAAACCAAGGCACAAAACGAGCUACUGAAAAAUACAGUCAUAUUGCCUGGUCAUCCCUGGUUGGCACCAGUGUGUGAUCAUACUGUGAGCUCUACAUAGUUGUCUGUGUGUGUGUGUGUAUGUGUGAGUCGGCAGACAUUUCUCACGGUUUGAGGAAGUGCAGAGGCGUCAUAGAAAUGGCCCUGCUGGAAUACGUAGGCAGUUUUUUUUUUUUUUCUUCCUCUUACGCACACUAACUUUGCUGUUCUUCCAAAAUCUGCCUUUCGUUACUCUGUAGGCUCCUUUCGAGAGAGCAAAGUCUUUCUGACCUCCUUUCAUCUUUUUAUUCUCUCACACUAGAACUUUAGUCGCAUUGGCUGAGACUUUAUGUCCUGACUGCUCAGAGAUUGGCAAAAACAAACCCACACACAUAAACAGGAAAACACGCAUGUGACAAGAUUGUUCGGUGUUUGCUUUCUCAUUUGCAAGUCUGCCCAUGCAGCCCUGUUUGUGUCAGAGUCAAUAAUCCGCUUGGAAAAUUACCCCAGCCAGCCAGUGAGGGUGAUUGAUAAGACCAGUAAACAUCCACACUUCUUACAGUCAGUAAAAAUGUUGAUUUUCUUUUUUCCCCUCUUGAAAUUUGAACAUAUUCUGAGAAUAUUUGAGGUAAAAGAAUCAAUUUGAUUGACUAAAACUAUCAGGAAUAAAUAAUCACUACUUUGAAGUAAUACAUUUAAUUGUUGAUUUUUAUGUGGGUGUGAAAUAGAUUUUGUUUAAACCAAUCUUUUUCCAGUGCAAGAUGAUCAAGAGAGGACUGAACAUGUGCUGCGGCGGAGGUCGAAUCCUUUGUGGUAAUUUUGGGGUUAAAUUUCAGUCCUUCCAAAGACUGCAGGUGUGAGGCAGCACAUACUGGAACCCACUAGUGGAUAAAUGUGCUUUUAACUGCCAGCUAAUGUGGACUUUAGCCCUCAGCUCUGCUGCUAUGAGGGAAGGCUGUGGGAGGCAGAUGGAGAGAAACCUCUGAACUGGCCUUUUAAAGGGCCAUUUAUCUUCUAAUACCAGAUUUAUGCUUGUUUUGCUGCUUCCUAGCAACACUUGUUCAAGAUAUGAUGCCCCUGUGGAUAAGGAAUAUCAAAUGAGGUAUACAAUGCAGAGCGUACGAGUAGCGCAGCCUCCCUGCCAUCUGUUCCUGUAAGCUGUCAGUCAGCAGUGUACUGUGGACAAAUGAAGGGAAAACCCCCUGAUUUCUUUCCCCCUUUCUAAAUGAGGCACAAUCAAGGGGCUCACAUCUCAUGACCACACGCUGUUAGCACAAAUCACAAAGCUCGUUAGUGACACAAACAUCAUUAGUUUUAAUGAAUAACUGCUUGUGCUGCCCACCGCUUCACACCUACUGGUGAACUUUGUUCUGUGGCUACCAUUUUUAGCGGACAAGGGGUGUAAAGGUUUUAAUAUGGUGAAUCUAUUUCAGUUUGACUCUACCAGUCCACGUGUUUGUCUGUCUUCUCCCAACAUUUGUUUAAUGUCCAAUAAAAGACUUUCUUCAUUUAA